rnacentral:rRNA from 1 species
GAUUAAGUUAUUAAGGGCGCACGGUGGAUGCCUUGGCACUAGAAGCCGAUGAAGGACGUUACUAACGACGAUAUGCUUUGGGGAGCUGUAAGUAA